rnacentral:rRNA from 1 species
GAUGAACGCUGGCGGCGUGCCUAAUACAUGCAAGUCGAGCGAACGGACGAGAAGCUUGCUUCUCUGAUGUUAGCGGCGGACGGGUGAGUAACACGUGGAUAACCUACCUAUAAGACUGGGAUAACUUCGGGAAACCGGAGCUAAUACCGGAUAAUAUUUUGAACCGCAUGGUUCAAAAGUGAAAGACGGUCUUGCUGUCACUUAUAGAUGGAUCCGCGCUGCAUUAGCUAGUUGGUAAGGUAACGGCUUACCAAGGCAAGGAUGCAUAGCGGACCUGAGAGGGUGAUCGGCCACACUGGAACUGAGACACGGUCCAGACUCCUACGGGAGGCAGCAGUAGGGAAUCUUCCGCAAUGGGCGAAAGCCUGACGGAGCAACGCCGCGUGAGUGAUGAAGGUCUUCGGAUCGUAAAACUCUGUUAUUAGGGAAGAACAUAUGUGUAAGUAACUGUGCACAUCUUGACGGUACCUAAUCAGAAAGCCACGGCUAACUACGUG